UACGGGGGGGGGCAAGCGUUGUUCGGAAUUACUGGGCGUAAAGCGUGCGCAGGCGGUUCGCCAAGUCAGGUGUGAAAUCCCCGGGCUUAACCUGGGAAUUGCGCUUGAAACUAGCGGGCUUGAGUGUGGCAGAGGGGGGUGGAAUUCCACGUGUAGCAGUGAAAUGCGUAGAGAUGUGGAGGAACACCGAUGGCGAAGGCAGCCCCCUGGGUCAACACUGACGCUCAUGCACGAAAGCGUGGGGAGCGAACAGG
rnacentral:rRNA from 1 species